GACAGAGGUGCCAAGCGUUAGGCGGAAUCACUGGGCUUAAAGCGUGUGUAGGCGGGUGCCUAAGUACCUUGUGAAAUCCCACGGCUCAACCGUGGAACGGCUGGGUAUACUGGGUGCCUUGGGUCAUCCAGGGGCUGCCGGAACAAGUGGUGGAGCGGUGAAAUGCGUAGAUAUCGGGAAGAACACCCGUGGCUAAGGCGGCUCUCUAGUACGGUACUGACGCUGAGACGCGAAAGCGUGGGGAGCGAACAGG
rnacentral:rRNA from 1 species